UACGGGGGGGGGCAAGCGUUGUUCGGAAUUACUGGGCGUAAAGGGCUCGUAGGUGGCCAACUAAGUCAGACGUGAAAUCCUUCGGCUUAACCGGGGAACUGCGUCUGAUACUGGAUGGCUUGAGUUCGGGAGAGGGAUGCGGAAUUCCAGGUGUAGCGGUGAAAUGCGUAGAUAUCUGGAGGAACACCGGUGGCGAAGGCGGCAUCCUGGACCGACACUGACACUGAGGAGCGAAAGCCAGGGGAGCAAACGGG
rnacentral:rRNA from 1 species